AUUUCAGCAAAUUCUUUUUCUUUAUUAUUUUUUUUUUGUUUUUUGAUUUUCUGCAAGCCAUUAAUGCAUGCGCAGUUAAGUCUCAAGAAUGCUCAUUACUCAACGAAACCAUUCAUUAUUUUGACAACAACUUGAAACGCAAUAAAGAAGGCAUAUACCCGAAAUAUUUUGCUAUAAAUAAAGUAAAAUAAAGUAAAAAUGCCAGAAAAUGCGCCGCAAAGAAAAUAAAUAUUAAAGCUGAUAGGAGGUUAAUCUGUCAUGGUCGCGCAUAAAUUUGAGCUUACACCGAUAUAAUCUGCCGCAUACAAGCAUGGAGAUGGGGACAAAUCGAAAUGUGCAACACAUAGUGCUUUGAACUCUGCUAAACAUAAUUCAGGCAUAUAUAUCGGCAUCAAGGACUUUUGUUGCCAUAAGGAAAACAGCAACUAAGCAAACCAACGACCAAGCGCCGAAGCAGCAGUGUUGAGGCAGAAAGUGAAUUUGAAAAUAUUGAAAAUUUUAAAAUUGCUGCGUCAAUGCUCUGUCAUGCAAUUGCAAAAAUUGCCAAAAAAUCGCAUAAAUUCAAACAUACAUAAAUAAAGCUAUAAUGCGAAUUGCCAUGUCGGCAUGUUUGAAUAGAAAGCGCACGGCUCAGUCGCGCAGCCACAAACUAGCAGGCCGCUGAUAGCUUUGGAACAGCGAACUUAUUAAUAAGCAAUCGCAUUUGCAGCCGUUUUGCGUUGGAUACUGCUGUUUACAUAUUCAAAUACCCUAAACAGCAUAAAAUAAAAUUAGUUUGUAACACCCAGAAGUUAUAUGUACGUAUAUAAAUGAACGGCGUGACAAGAUGAGUCGAUUUAGCUAUGACCAUCUGUAUAUACGCACGUAAGUUUCUGAGAUAUCCAUCUGAAAUUUUUUACAUGUCCUUCACUCUGCAAAAAGCUGCUUAUUUUUCGGAAACACCAAAAUCAGAUCAUUAUAGCAUGUAGCUGUCAUACAAACUGAAUGAUCAAAAUCAAGUGCUCUUAUGGAAAACUUUUAUUUGACAAAAUACCUUUACGAAAUUUGGCACAGAGUAUUAUUUUGGGCAAGGCUACAAUCUUCAAGGAAAUUGUUCAAAUCGAACCAAUAAAGCGUAUAGCUGUCAAACAAACUGAACGAUCAAAAUCAAGUCGUUGUAUGAAAAAAGUUUUAUUUGUGAAGGGUGUUAGCGUUUCGUUGCGGCCGAUGUUAAAACUUUUUCUUAUAUAUAUAUUUUUUUUCAUUUAUUUUAAUAAAAAAAUUAUAUAUUUUUAACAUACAAGUAUUCUACGAAACAAAAUUAAUACAUAUUGAAGCUCCCAACACUUUUUCGCCACUCACAGUGCAAAUUAAGCUAAGCGCCAACAACAUCAACAAAAAACAACAGGUAUUCACACACUGUCUAUAAAUUUUGUACAAAUCAAAAAUUGUAUAAAUCGAAAAAUUCUAUUGAUUGCAGCAUUUCUUAAAAUUUUAUUAGGCUAUUUGUCAUUUAUGUCAAUUAAAUUCUGCACUGAUGCGUUAAUUACGUGCUUUUGGAAUUAAUUGCUGUAAUGAUAUCAUCUAAUAUAUGUACAGUUAACAAUUUCUAAACAGCUCAACUGAUGCAUUAAAUUAAUUUCAUUAGGUUACUCAUACGCCAUGUAUUGCCUACAUAUCACUUAUAUGCGAGUAUGCAAAUGAAAUGUAAUAAAGUCUCGUUAAGAUGCCAAUUCAAUUGUGAUUUGUGCAGCAAGUUAACUUGCAUUAUAUGCCCACACACACACAUACGCACGCAUUUGUGCAUAAGCACAGCAAUAAUUUGUUUAACUAGGCUUAACUUGUUUGAUAAAAUAGUCUUGUUUAUAAAAAAAAUUGAUGGAAAAUUGAAGGUAUGUUGUUGUACAACUGCAAAAAUUUAAAUGACUGGG